GAUGAACGCUGACAGAAUGCUUAACACAUGCAAGUCAACUUGAACUUCGGUUUGGGUGGCGGACGGGUGAGUAACGCGUAAAGAACUUGCCUCACAGUUAGGGACAACAUUUGGAAACGAAUGCUAAUACCUGAUAUUAUGAUUUUAGGGCAUCCUAGAAUUAUGAAAGCUAUAUGCGCUGUGAGAGAGCUUUGCGUCCCAUUAGCUAGUUGGAGAGGUAACGGCUCACCAAGGCGAUGAUGGGUAGCCGGCCUGAGAGGGUGUACGGCCACAAGGGGACUGAGACACGGCCCUUACUCCUACGGGAGGCAGCAGUGGGGAAUAUUGGACAAUGGACCAAGAGUCUGAUCCAGCAAUUCUGUGUGCACGAUGAAGUUUUUCGGAAUGUAAAGUGCUUUCAGUUGGGAAGAAAAAAAUGACGGUACCAACAGAAGAAGUGACGGCUAAAUACGU
rnacentral:rRNA from 1 species